AAGUCUUUAGAGUCCUCCAAAGAAGAGAUCUUUGAUUCAAACCUUUCAGGUAAACUAACCAAGACUUUCUCCACAAUUCUCCUGUCAGUUAACUCUUCACCAAGAAGCCUGAUCUUGUUAACAACAUUCAUUAGUUUAUCAAUAUAAUCUUUUAGACUUUCAGACUCUUUCAUCUUGAGAACCUCAAAUUCCCUUCUCAAGUUGAGUAUUGACAUUUG
rnacentral:misc_RNA from 1 species